rnacentral:misc_RNA from 1 species
CCGAGAAGCAGCAGCGGCGGCAUGAGCCGCUAACCAGUACGAGAGAAACGGGCAUAAGCAACGCAGAAGCGGUCGAGGGGCCCCUUUUUUAAGUCAGCGGGCACCUUGACCAGACACGCGGGCAAACGCCGUCUCCUUCCUCCUCUCCCUUCGUUCCCCUAAAUUCCCCCUGCAGGAGCCACCUUGACGCGUGGGAGCUAGUGACCUACACCAAUGAUCAUCGGUAGGCCGGUAUUAAAACUCGUUGCACCGGGUUUUUCUCUCGCGGUCACGCGCAAGUAUUCCCGCAGGUGUGUGUCGCGUCGUCGUGUGCGAGAUGAUAAAAGAGGAAAAAAAAAAAUUUUCGCAAAGGGAAGUAGGGGGG